GUGGGUGGUCUCUUAUUUGAAAAGGUUUUUGACUCUCAUCAAAAGUUCUCAGAAUGAGUAAAACAAGAUAUUUCUUUGUGUUGAAACAAAAAUCUUAAGCUGGAGUGGUGUUUGAUUUGAUUGUAUUUGUGUCCAUGAGAGAAAUGGUAGAAGAUGAAUCGGUAUGAAGCCAUGUCAGCAUGGUUCCAAGAGAAAAAAAAAAAAGACUUUGGGGCAUUAGUUUCAGGCAAGGCAGCUACCAGGUUUAGAGGAGAUUAAUUUUUUUUUUUACCCUGUAAGGAAUAUGCAGUCAAAGAUGUGAAGUGGGAGCUGUCAGACAAUACCAACUGUGUUUGAGUUUCUGACUGAAAAUGGUGAAGAAUGGACUUAAUUAUGCUAACAGAUUGAAAAUCUAGACAUACAUCCUCUGAUACACAAUUAGAGAUAUUUUUCUAUAGAUCACAAGCAUUACAUGUAUACAAAAGGUAACAUUAGGCUGUGGUGGAAUAACCGUUUAAUGUCAAGACUCUAUUUGGGAAAUACACUACAAAACUUAAUGUAUUAUCCAUGGCUGUCCUGACACCAGUAGAGCAAAAAUUAAUCAUGUCAAAUUAACUCUGUUACACAGUGUGAUCUUUUUUAAUACUAACCAUCUCUUACGGAAAGCAGAUCCUCUGAGAUGACCCUCUCGCCAGCCCAUCACAGGCUCUGCAUAUCACUUGUACCCAGUGUGGACUGAGAAGCGUUACUUUGUAG
rnacentral:lncRNA from 1 species